GCUCUUUCCAAAAGCUGCGAAAAGCUAUAUUUCACUGAACCCCCUCCCCUGUUAAAAACGUUAGCUGGUAGCAGCGCGUGUAUUUUAAGUUUCAGAAACAAUACUGUGAUCUUGUCCUCCGAGACUCGGUGCAUUUAGCUGGAUCUUCAUCGUAGUAGGGAUGCACAGUUUUAUAGACAGGAAAUAGAAGUGUUUUCCUCAAAUAAUCCCCAAGGAAUACUCAUUCAACAUUAUUAUCAUCCAGAACUUCUUUGGCUGUUCGCUGACGAUUGUUUAUUUUCGUUCUCAUCUUCAUUUGACGCCCAAAUAUUCUUGGUAAUGCCACCAAAGAUUAAAGAAAUGAGAAGCAAUAUUUCGAUGGCUUGGAAAUGCAGAUGUUAGCCGUUAAGCUUUGUGCUACAGCGCAGGAAAUGGACAGCUCUGGUUGCAUAUAUUUUUAAUCUAUCUGAAAAAUUCUAAUCAUUUUUUGAAUUACUUGGAAAUUUGGAGAGAUUAUAUGAAUCAUUUUAUUGCUCUAAAUGAGAAACGUUGUUGAGCUUAUUGGUUCGAAUCUAUGUUAACUACAGAAGUUAGACUUUAUACAACCAUCAAGUAAAGUUUUUAUAAUGAAAAUAUUAAAAACUUCAAACUAUUCAAAAAUAUGUACCAGAUUCAAUCAGUUUCCAUACUAUAUUUUAAGAUAAGAAUGUAAAUGUUUUAUUAAAUGUACAUGAUAUGGGGCACUAUUAGUGACAUAUUAUUAAAAAAUUAUAAUGAUAUGAAGAUUUUAACCAGUACCCCUUUAUUUUAGCAUCUGACGCAUAUAGAGGCUUCUUGCUAAUUAAAAUAGUAUUUCAGAAAUAUAUUUAUAAUAUUUAACUUCAAAAGAAGUUUUAAAAGUCUUCGUUACAUUUUGAUGCUUUAAAAAUACGAUCAGAUUUAUGAAUUUUUUUGUUAUUUGUUACACUGUUAACUAUUUCAUGAUUCAAGCGCUAAGAGCUAAAAAUAUUGUACAAUAAAAAUAU
rnacentral:lncRNA from 1 species